rnacentral:rRNA from 1 species
UACGUAGGGGGCAAGCGUUGUCCGGAAUCAUUGGGCGUAAAGAGCGUGUAGGCGGCUUGGUAAGUCCGCUGUAAAAGUCCAAGGCUCAACCCUGGAAAGCCGGUGGAAACUACCAAGCUUGAGUCCGGAAGAGGCGAGUGGAAUUCCUGGUGUAGCGGUGAAAUGCGCAGAUAUCAGGAGGAACACCAAUGGCGAAGGCAGCUCGCUGGGACGGUACUGACGCUGAGACGCGAAAGCGUGGGGAUCAAACAGG